AGCGAACGCUGGCGGCAGGCUUAACACAUGCAAGUCGAGCGGGCACUUCGGUGUCAGCGGCAGACGGGUGAGUAACACGUGGGAACGUACCCUUUGGUUCGGAAUAACGCUGGGAAACUAGCGCUAAUACCGGAUACGCCCUUUUGGGGAAAGGCUUGCUGCCGAAGGAUCGGCCCGCGUCUGAUUAGCUAGUUGGUGGGGUAAUGGCCUACCAAGGCGACGAUCAGUAGCUGGUCUGAGAGGAUGAUCAGCCACACUGGGACUGAGACACGGCCCAGACUCCUACGGGAGGCAGCAGUGGGGAAUAUUGGACAAUGGGCGAAAGCCUGAUCCAGCCAUGCCGCGUGAGUGAUGAAGGCCUUAGGGUUGUAAAGCUCUUUUGUCCGGGACGAUAAUGACGGUACCGGAAGAAUAAGCCCCGGCUAACUUCGUG
rnacentral:rRNA from 1 species